AGCGAACGCUGGCGGCAGGCCUAACACAUGCAAGUCGAACGGACCCCUCGGGGUUAGUGGCGGACGGGUGAGUAACACGUGGGAACGUGCCUUUAGGUUCGGAAUAGCUCCUGGAAACGGGUGGUAAUGCUGAAUGUGCCCUUCGGGGGAAAGAUUUAUCGCCUUUAGAGCGGCCCGCGUCUGAUUAGCUAGUUGGUGAGGUAAUGGCUCACCAAGGCGACGAUCAGUAGCUGGUCUGAGAGGAUGACCAGCCACAUUGGGACUGAGACACGGCCCAAACUCCUACGGGAGGCAGCAGUGGGGAAUCUUGCGCAAUGGGCGAAAGCCUGACGCAGCCAUGCCGCGUGGAUGAUGAAGGUCUUAGGAUUGUAAAAUCCUUUCACCGGUGAAGAUAAUGACUGUAGCCGGAGAAGAAGCCCCGGCUAACUUCGUGCCAGCCGCCGCUGUAAUAC
rnacentral:rRNA from 1 species